rnacentral:tRNA from 1 species
GCCGGAUUAGUAUGAUACUUAGUACGUCGAAUUUAGGUUUCGAAAGAAAAUGAAAUUUAUCUGGUU